rnacentral:rRNA from 1 species
AGAGUUUGAUCCUGGCUCAGAACGAACGCUGGCGGCGCGUUUUAAGCAUGCAAGUCGAGCGGCAAGGGCCUUUGGGCCCCUAGAGCGGCGGACGGGUGAGUAACACGUGGACAAUCUGCCCCCCGGCCGGGGAUAGCCCAGGGGAACCUGGAUUAAUACCGGAUGAGACGGGACCCGCGGAGGCGGGAUCCGGGAAAGGCGCUGCGGCGCCGCCGGGGGAUGAGUCUGCGUCCCAUUAGCUAGACGGCGGGGUGAAGGCCCACCGUGGCGACGAUGGGUAGCCGGCCUGAGAGGGUGGACGGCCACAUUGGAACUGAGACACGGUCCAGACUCCUACGGGAGGCAGCAGCUAAGAAUCUUCCGCAAUGGGCGAAAGCCUGACGGAGCGACGCCGCGUGAACGAAGAAGGCCGUGAGGUUGUAAAGUUCUUUUCGGGAGGGGGAACAACCGUGGCAGGGAAUGGCCGCGGGAUGACGUGAAUCCCGGAAUAAGCCCCGGCUAACUACGUGCCAGCAGCCGCGGUAACACGUAGGGGGCGAGCGUUGUUCGGAAUCAUUGGGCGUAAAGGGCGUGCAGGCGGUCCUGCAAGUCCGGCGUGAAAGACCCCGGCCCAACCGGGGGGGCGCGCUGGAAACUGCAGGGCUUGAGUACAGGAGGGGAUGCCGGGAAUUCCAGGUGUAGGGGGUGAAAUCUGUAGAUAUCUGGAAGAACACCAAAUGGGCGAAGGCAGGCAUCUGGCCAUGUACUGACGCUGAGACUCGAAGGUGCGGGGAGCAAACAGGUUUAGAUACCCUGGU